UACGAAGGGGGCGAGCGUUGUUCGGAUUUACUGGGCGUAAAGGGCGCGCAGGCGGCUUAUUUUGUCAGGCGUGAAAGCCCCGGGCUUAGCCUGGGAACUGCGUUUGAUACGGAUGGGCUAGAGUUCGGGAGAGGAGCGUGGAAUUCCCAGUGUAGAGGUGAAAUUCGUAGAUAUUGGGAAGAACACCGGUGGCGAAGGCGGCGCUCUGGACCGAGACUGACGCUGAGGCGCGAAAGCGUGGGGAGCAAACAGG
rnacentral:rRNA from 1 species